ACGGAUUGCCAUAAGUAUGUUAACUAAAUGUUCUCAUGUAUAUUUACCAGUCCAUUUGUCAUAAUUUGACACGUAAUGACGCCCAUUGUUGAAGCAAGCCACUUAGCCAGGAAUUCUAAGCUGUCAUCAAUCCUACAGCUGUACUGUAGUAUGCCUAUGCAUGUUUUGUAGAUGGUGAAUCUCAAGUGAAACUAAGAACUUUGAGUCGUCAUUACAUAUAAUUGACUAUCGUUUCCAAUUUUGAUAAUGUAAUCCACAACAACACAGCUAUGCGUUCAACACAGCAUUCACUCACUCACAACACAGCAUGCUGGUUCAACAAUUAUAGCGGGCAAUCCACACGCCAUGGAACAAAUGGUGGAGCUAACCUGUGACGAUUAACUUUUAAUUCAUUUUCCCGUGUAACGAAACCCACACUUUGAUUUCUCUACUCCUUCUGUGAACACCACGUGUGAAGUGGUGGAACUGUAAUUUAAAAAUGUAAAAGCAUUUACCCUUAAAUAAAUAUUUUCAUUUGAA